AGCGGCAGGCCUUAUACAUGCAAGUCGAACGGUAACAUUGGUGCUUGCACCAGAUGACGAGUGGCGCACGGGUGCGUAACGCGUAUGCAACCUACCUUUUACUAGAGUAUAGCCCAGAGAAAUUUGGAUUAAUCCUCUAUAACAUCUUUUAAUUUCAUGAUUAAUUGAUUAAAGUUUUAACGGUAAAAGAUGGGCAUGCGUCCUAUUAGUUUGUAGGUGAGGUAACGGCUCACCUAGACUACGAUAGGUAGGGGCCCUGAGAGGGGGAUCCCCCACACUGGUACUGAGACACGGACCAGACUCCUACGGGAGGCAGCAGUAAGGAAUAUUGGACAAUGGACGAAAGUCUGAUCCAGCCAUGCCGCGUGCAGGAUGAAAGCCCUAUGGGUUGUAAACUGCUUUUAUACAGGAAGAAACACUCCGACGUGUCGGAGCUUGACGGUACUGUAAGAAUAAGGAUCGGUUAACUCCGUGCCAGCAGCCGCGGUAAUACGGAGGAUCCAAGCGUUAUCCGGAAUCAUUGGGUUUAAAGGGUCCGCAGGCGGUCUUUUAAGUCAGAGGUGAAAGCCUACAGCUCAACUGUAGAACGGCCUUUGAUACUGAAAGACUUGAGUUAUUGCGAAGUGGUUA
rnacentral:rRNA from 1 species